rnacentral:rRNA from 1 species
AGAGAGAGACAUGCGCGCAUAUCAAUAAGCGGAGGAAAAGAAACUAACAAGGAUUCCCUUAGUAACGGCGAGUGAAGCGGGAAGAGCUCAAAUUUGAAAUCUUCAAGGUUUUACCUUGACGAAUUGUAGUUUAAAGAAGUGUUUUCUGCUGAAGUUUUGGUAAAAGUUCUUUGGAAUAGGACAUCAUAGAGGGUGAGAAUCCCGUAUUUGACCAUUAUUUUCAGCUUUGUGAUACACUUUCAAAGAGUCGGAUUGUUUGGGAAUGCAGUCCAAAAUGGGUGGUAAAUUUCAUCUAAAGCUAAAUAUUGGCGAGAGACCGAUAGCGAACAAGUACCGUGAGGGAAAGAUGAAAAGAACUUUGAAAAGAGAGUUAAACAGUACGUGAAAUUGUCAAAAGGGAAGCGUUUGACACCAGUGUUGUUUUCUCGAAAAUCAAUUAAAAAUGGCUCGAUUUUGUAUUGCUGAGACCUAAAAGCUCACUGUACAUUUUUCGUGUCUUUUUUAAUGCACUUUUCGUUUAACAAGUCAACAUCAGUUUCUUUUGUUGUAAAAGGGUCAUUGGAAGGUGGCUUUCUUUUCGGAGAAAGUGUUUAUAGCCUUUGGCCUCUGCAAUCGAAGAGACUGAGGUCUGCAGCGUAGACUCUUCGGGGUUAGAUACAUUUGUGCUAAGUUAUAGCUUUUUAUAGACAACUUGUUGACUAUAAUUAGUCUUGUAGCUUACUCGCUUAUGCUAUUUUACCUACGCUUAGGAUGUUGAAGAUGUAGCACAUUCAU